CGUAGGGUGCGAGCGUUAAUCGGAAUUACUGGGCGUAAAGCGUGCGCAGGCGGUUUUGUAAGCCAGAUGUGAAAUCCCCGGGCUCAACCUGGGAAUGGCAUUUGGGACUGCAAGGCUGGAGUGAGGCAGAGGAGACUGGAAUUCCUGGUGUAGCAGUGAAAUGCGUAGAUAUCAGGAGGAAUACCGAUGGCGAAGGCAGGUCUCUGGGCUAACACUGACGCUCAUGCACGAAAGCGUGGGGAGCAAACAGGAUUAGAUACCCUGGUAGUCCACGCCCUAAACGAUGUCGACUGGUUGUUGGGGGUUUGACACUCUCAGUAACGAAGCUAACGCGUGAAGUCGACCGCCUGGGGAGUACGGCCGCAAGGUUA
rnacentral:rRNA from 1 species